GGAGAGAACUGGGCAGAAGAUAACCAGGAAUUCUAACCCCAGGCUCAGAUCUGAGGUCUAGAAAGGACCAUGGGGAGAUGAGAGAAGGCCCAUGUCUGCCCUCUUCCUGCACAGCCCUCCUGCCCAGACACAGGAGGAAGAAGGACGGUGCAAGUGAGCUCUCAGCCCUGCACCUGCUCAGCUGGCUUCACUUCAUUCCUGCUCUGUGCCCAGGAAACUGGGGAUCUCCAGGAGAAUCCUGUCCUCUGCUC